rnacentral:rRNA from 1 species
UAAGUAGGCAGUGGAAACGACACAAACUUGGAUUCCUCAAUUAGUUGCGAAUGAAAGAGAGAGGAUUUCAGCUUGACAUCCAAGGGUGCUACCUUUGACAUGAAGAUUUGAUCGUGUGCCAAAGGGAGGGAGGUGGAAAGUGGAUACUGUCUUGGGAGAGGGGUGUGCAAGUGGCAACGAGGGUAACAAGCCUUUGACGCUUGAUGUGUCUUCCUGCACGGCACCUUCUCUAGACUCAUGCUCUUUGAAAGUGGAGUGCAAAGUGGGUGGUAAAUCUCACUCAAAGGCAGAUACAACCCUGGGGCCGACAGCAUACAAGUACCGUGAGGGAAGUGUGAAAAGGACUUUGGAAAGAGAAUUAGAGGAGCCUGAAUGUGCUGAACAGUAAGCAUACAGGGUGGGGGACUUUGGAGAGAUUUCGCUGCAUGACCAAGCAAGUGGUUACCGCAUGUGCAAAGGUUCUGUGGUGUGCAUUGGCAUGACGUGUGUGUGUCUCUUCUUGGAUGUCAAUUAAAGACAGCUGCAGUCAAUGGCAACUGGUGAUGAAGGGUCACUUUGUGCCAGUGGCUGUCAUUGCCCAGAUUGUGCACGUGCCUGGGAUAUGGUGGGGGGGGGGGGGGGGGUGGUACCAUAGAUGACAUGGUGCUCUAAAAAGGUGGGUGUGGGGCGUUUGUUGUGCCUCAUUACGUGUGAAGGUAGGUUUUGCCUGGCAGCACAUCUGCUGUCACCCUCUGCCUGUGUGACCCGUCUUGAAACACGGACCAAGGAGUCUAACAACCCUGCAAGGUGUGUGUUUUUUUUGUGUUGUGUACGACUGUGUGCCAAUGAAAGUGGAGUCCCAGACCUGUGCAUGAGUGUUCCACCAAACACACGGUUGAGGUUUGAGUCUGAGCAUGGCUGCUAGGACCCGAAAGAUGGUGAACUAUGCCUGGCAAGGGUCAAGGCAGGGGAAACUCUGAUGGAGGCUCGCAGCGCUACUGACGUGCAAAUCGUUCGUCGCACUUGGGUAUAGGGGCGAAAGGCUAAUCGAACCUUCUAGUAGCUGGUUCUCUUUGAAGUUUCCCUCAGGAUAGUUGGAGUCAGACAGUUUUAUCAGGUAAAGCGAAUGAUUGGAGGAAUUGGGGGUGUGACACUUUUGACCUAGUCUCAAGCUUUUAACGGGUAUGCAGCAGAGGUUGCUUUAUGUGAAUCCGCACUGAAUGUGUUGCUCAUGUGGGCCACUUUUGGUAAGCAGAACUGGCGAUGAGGGGUGAACCUAUUGACUGGUUAAGACACUGGACUUCUUGCUCAUCAGAGCUCAUAAAGGGUGUUGGCUCAUUCAGACAGCAGGACGGUGGUCAUGGAAGUUGAAACCCGCUUGGGAGUGU